rnacentral:rRNA from 1 species
UACGGAGGGUGCGAGCGUUAUCCGGAUUCACUGGGUUUAAAGGGUGCGUAGGCGGGUUGGUAAGUCCGUGGUGAAAUCUCCGAGCUUAACUCGGAAACUGCCGUGGAUACUAUCAAUCUUGAAUAUCGUGGAGGUAAGCGGAAUAUGUCAUGUAGCGGUGAAAUGCUUAGAGAUGACAUAGAACACCAAUUGCGUAGGCAGCUUACUACACGAUCAUUGACGCUGAGGCACGAAAGCGUGGGGAGCAAACAGG